rnacentral:misc_RNA from 1 species
CAACUUCCACCUGGCUUACCUCCNUCAGUUAUGCGUCAUGACUUGUAUCGUCUUGAGCGUAUUGUGGGUUUCCUGUGUUGCAUACCUAAUAAUGGAAUCGUUUUGGUUGAUUGAAGUCCCUUUUCAUCACGUGUUGCCUUUGCGACGCAUGAUGAACCUCGAAGCGGUCUCUAUGUUCCACCACGUUGAUGCUAGUGUCUUGAUGUUGUGGCCCAUUGAGUGUUGCUUGGUUUCGUGGAUACAGAACAUGAUUUGGGCAUAGGGUCACUUGUGACUCUUGUUUUGUCCUUUAUCAGUGUUCUCUAUAACGACGGUUCAUGCGCGCCUAGGCUCGUACCUGCGCGAUGUUCUUUGUCGAAGAGGAAUGCUACCUGGUUGAUCCUGCCAGUAGUCAUAUGCUUGUCUCAAAGAUUAAGCCAUGCAUGUGUAAGU